rnacentral:piRNA from 2 species
AGGAUGGCAAGAAGCGCAAGCGCAGC